rnacentral:rRNA from 1 species
AUUGAACGCUGGCGGCAGGCUUAACACAUGCAAGUCGAGCGAGCGGCGGACGGGUGAGUAAUGUCUGGGAAACUGCCUGAUGGAGGGGGAUAACUACUGGAAACGGUAGCUAAUACCGCAUACCAUCAGAUGUGCCCAGAUGGGAUUAGCUAGUAGGUGGGGUAAUGGCUCACCUAGGCGACGAUCCCUAGCUGGUCUGAGAGGAUGACCAGCGACACGGGAACUGGGACACGGUGCAGACGCCGACGGGCGGGAGCAGUGGGGAAUAUUGCACAAUGGGCGCAAGCCUGAUGCAGCCAUGCCGCGUGUGUGAAGAAGGCCUUCGGGUUGUAAAGCACUUUCAGCGAGGAGGCGUUACUCGCAGAAGAAGCACCGGCUAACUCCGUGCCAGCAGCCGCGGUAAUUC